AGGAGACGCGUGAGCUCAAAAAACACAUCAGCUCAUUGAAAAAAAAAGGUUACGAGGACACACGCGCCGGUCGCCGGAGCGAGCGGGCGUGCGUCUCCGGCAGGCUGCGCCGUAAGGCCUUCAGCAGUUCCGGAUACCUUCAUAAUAUAUCUAGGGGUUCCCGUCAACUCGCGACCGUUCCUCUACGGAGCAGGCGGCACCCGAUUCCGUGGUCGGAGGGGCUCUCGAUCUCGCGGCCGGCGGGGAUCAUCGUGCAAGAUGCGCAAGUCGGCGUUGGUGGCGAUGUGCCGCCUCUUCCACAGUUCGGUCUAUAAUCACUGAGUCACCCUCUCCCUCUGCGAAUCGAUCCCCGAAUUCUGGCGCACGACGCCUGCAACUGAAGAGAAAGGCUUUGAAUGUCACUGAAGGCGAGUAAAGACUGACAGACAAUAAUAAGAUUUGGUUGAAGACAUACAACAGAGGUGGAGGUUACCAUGGAGAUGGCGGAGGAAGAGAAGUCGGCACGAGGAACUCUUGCAACCUAUGGGGUGACACAGUGCGGUAGAGGGUCUUUGGUGUGUCUACUUCAGCGUGGAGGACGUCAAGCUUUGUCACGGUGCUUCAUCUUUGGGACAUAAAAAAAUUUGUAAUAGAAAAAGUGCAUUUGCACACCGUGUCGGUGUGCACCUGUGGGGUUGUGACACAUGUCAAGCUUAUGGCCUCGGUAAUCUCCCUCUCUAAGAUAGGGGCCCAUAGGUUGCGGCUUGCAUCUGCGUCACGGUUACCGGUUGUUGAUUUACAUUUUGAGACUGCUGAACAGCCUUGCCGGCUGGUGAAUGCUCUGCCCGGGAACCAGAUUAUAAACAGGUUCAGCGUUUCA